UGGGGAAUAUUGCACAAUGGACGGAAGUUUGAUGCAGCGACGCCGCGUGGAGGGUGUAGGCCUUCGGGUUGUGAACUCCUUUUUCUCGCGAAAAAGGCACAGUUUUGGCUGUGUUGUUGGCAGUGGGGGAAGAAGCGCCGGCUAACUACGUGCCAGCAGCCGCGGUAAUACGUAGGGCGCGAGCGUGGUCCGGAUUUAUUGGGCGUAAAGAGCUCGUAGGUGGUUCGUCGCGUCUGUCGUGAAAGCCAGCAGCUUAACUGUUGGUCUGCGGUGGGUACGGGCGGGCUUGAGUGCGGUAGGGGUGACUGGAAUUCCUGGUGGAGCGGUGGAAUGCGCAGAUAUCAGGAGGAACACCGAUGGCGAAGGCAGGUCACUGGGCCGUUACUGACACUGAGGAGCGAAAGCGUGGGGAGCGAACAGG
rnacentral:rRNA from 1 species